rnacentral:rRNA from 1 species
AUUGAACGCUAGCGGGAUGCUUUACACAUGCAAGUCGAACGAGUGGCGGACGGGUGAGUAAUAUAUCGGAACGUGCCCAGUAGCGGGGGAUAACUACUCGAAAGAGUGGCUAAUACCGCCUAAUAUCGGAGCGGCCGAUAUCGGAUUAGCUAGUUGGUGGGGUAAAGGGUCACAAAGGCAACGAUCCGUCGCUGGUUUGAGCGGACGACCGACCACACUGGGACUGAUAAACGGCCCAGAAUCCUACGGGAGGCAGCAGUGGGGAAUUUUGGACAAUGGGGGAAACCCUGAUCCAGCAAUCCGGCGUGUAUGAGAAGGCCUUCGGGUUGUAAAGUACUUUUGGAAGAAGAGCGGUAUCUGCCGAAUAAGCAACGGCUAACUACGUGCCAGCAGCCGCGGUAAUAC